GACGAACGCUGGCGGCGUGCUUAACACAUGCAAGUCGAACGGAAAGGCCCUGCUUUUGUGGGGUGCUCGAGUGGCGAACGGGUGAGUAACACGUGAGUAACCUGCCCUUGACUUUGGGAUAACUUCAGGAAACUGGGGCUAAUACCGGAUAGGAGCUCCUGCUGCAUGGUGGGGGUUGGAAAGUUUCGGCGGUUGGGGAUGGACUCGCGGCUUAUCAGCUUGUUGGUGGGGUAGUGGCUUACCCAGGCUUUGACGGGUAGCCGGCCUGAGAGGGUGACCGGCCACAUUGGGACUGAGAUACGGCCCAGACUCCUACGGGAGGCAGCAGUGGGGAAUAUUGCACAAUGGGCGGAAGCCUGAUGCAGCAACGCCGCGUGCGGGAUAACGGCCUUCGGGUUGUAAACCGCUUUCGCCUGUGACGAAGCGUGAGUGACGGUAAUGGGUAAAGAAGCACCGGCUAACUACGUG
rnacentral:rRNA from 1 species